rnacentral:rRNA from 1 species
UAGCUAGUUGGUGAGGUAAAGGCUUACCAAGGCGACGAUCUGUAGCGGGUCUGAGAGGAUGAUCCGCCACACUGGAACUGAGACACGGUCCAGACUCCUACGGGAGGCAGCAGUGGGGAAUUUUGGACAAUGGGGGCAACCCUGAUCCAGCCAUGCCGCGUGAGUGAAGAAGGCCUUCGGGUUGUAAAGCUCUUUCGGCCGGGAAGAAAUCGCAUGGGCCAAUACCCUGUGUGGAUGACGGUACCGGAAUAAGAAGCACCGGCUAACUACGUGCCAGCAGCCGCGGUAAUACGUAGGGUGCGAGCGUUAAUCGGAAUUACUGGGCGUAAAGCGUGCGCAGGCGGUUUUGUAAGACAGGCGUGAAAUCCCCGGGCUUAACCUGGGAACUGCGUUUGUGACUGCAAGGCUAGAGUACGGCAGAGGGGGGUGGAAUUCCACGUGUAGCAGUGAAAUGCGUAGAGAUGUGGAGGAACACCAAUGGCGAAGGCAGCCCCCUGGGUCGAUACUGACGCUCAUGCACGAAAGCGUGGGUAGCAAACAGGAUUAGAUACCCUGGUAGUCCACGCCCUAAACUAUGUCAACUAGGUGUUGGGUGGGUAAAACCAUUUAGUACCGUAGCUAACGCGUGAAGUUGACCGCCUGGGGAGUACGGCCGCAAGGUUAAAACUCAAAGGAAUUGACGGGGACCCGCACAAGCGGUGGAUGAUGUGGAUUAAUUCGAUGCAACGCGAAAAACCUUACCUACCCUUGACAUGCCAGGAACUUGCCAGAGAUGGCUUGGUGCCCGAAAGGGAGCCUGGACACAGGUGCUGCAUGGCUGUCGUCAGCUCGUGUCGUGAGAUGUUGGGUUAAGUCCCGCAACGAGCGCAACCCUUGUCGUUAAUUGCCAUCAUUUGGUUGGGCACUUUAACGAGACUGCCGGUGACAAACCGGAGGAAGGUGGGGAUGACGUCAAGUCCUCAUGGCCCUUAUGGGUAGGGCUUCACACGUCAUACAAUGGUCGGUACAAAGGGUUGCCAAGCCGCGAGGCGGAGCCAAUCCCAGAAAGCCGAUCGUAGUCCGGAUUGCAGGCUGCAACUCGCCUGCAUGAAGUCGGAAUCGCUAGUAAUCGUGGAUCAGCAUGUCACGGUGAAUACGUUCCCGGGUCUUGUACACACCGCCGUCACACCAUGGGAGCGGGUUCCGCCAGAAGUAGGUAGCCUAACCGCAAGGGGGGCGCUUACCACGGCGGGGUUCGUGACUGGGGUGAAGUCGAAACAAGGUAGCCGUAGGGGAACCUGCGGCUG